GCUUACUUCAUCCAAAAUAAUAAGAUCAGAGUUUAUGGAGUUAAGUGUUUCAAAGUUUAAUGUUUCUUGUGCUGGGGGAGUCAAAGGGGAUAAAUUCUUUUCCAGCAUAGUUGGUCCUAAUGAUAGAGAAGAGCAGUUCAUGUUUAAUGUGCUUUUAAGAGGAAGCUGUUCCAGGAAUGGAUCCAAGUUUCCAGAGUUUGAUAUAUUUUUGCUGCUGUUCGAGGAAAACUUCCUCCUCUCAUGUGAAGAGAUAAGGUUUGUUGUUGGAGUUCUCUUUGUGAACAAGGAAAUUGGACUGGCCAGGUUUGUGAAAUGUCUCUGAACGGAUAUUCCAUGGUAGCUGAGAAGGGAUUUAUUUGCAAUUAUCCGUGCUGUUGUCUCAGCCGAUUUAAAGGGUCACAACUCUUGAGAAGGAGGCGGCUGGUCGUGCUCUUGGCAUCAACUCAGCUUCUUCUGGGGCUUUGUGGGAUCUGGCUGCUUCUACACUUACAACAUCUAUACAGUCUGCACCAGGGGCCUACACUUCGCUUCCGGAGGCGGCAGCAGUUCCUGUUGCUAACGACACCUCACUUAUUGCUUUGCCAUCUCUGCUUCCGGUUGAUGGAUUGGAUCCAGAGAUCUGAUGAGUGGAGUUCUCAUGGUGGAAAGAUCCUGCUCACAGAAGUAGAAGAAGCUAUUUCCCCUGAUUCCCCUCUGCUAUACAGUCCUAUACAUCUCCUGAAAUGGGGAGGGUUGGCUGGCCAUCCAGAACAGCAUGGCAGGUGGCACAAGAAGUCACAAGUGGAAAUAAGGGGAAACUGCCUAACCCCCCUUUCUUCAGUUCUGUGAACCUACUCUGGUCAUAACCCCUUCCAUGAACAGAAGGAACGCUUUUAUUUUCAGAAUGGCUAUUCUAGAUAUAGACCUAAAUGUAAUUGCUGGUGACAAAAUGAGAAUUAAGCAAUAUGAACUGCUUAUGCAACUAAUGAUAGCUUCCCCCCCUUUUUUUUUCAAGCGGUAUCAACAUCCCUACUGUGGCCCUGUUCAGAUAUUCAUUUCACUCACAUGCAGGAGAAAAUGAGUCUGCUGGCAAUCUCCAUCCCCUCUGGCACACCAGACCCUGUAUUUACAGCCCUCCAAUGGCAGAAGGGCAUUCUCCUGAAGAAAGGAGCAUUCUAGACUCAUGGAGGCUUCCACCAUGAUUUGCAAUCACUCAUGGAGGACACCACGGUGGAGAGCUUGCCAGCUUCCUCCUGCUUUCCCUCAUGUGAGGGAAAUUACCAAAUAGAGGUUGAAAGAUUACUAAAACUUACAAACUAAUUCUAACGUUCUGGCCUCUUGAGUCUGGCUCCUUUUUAAAACCCAUGUGAUUACAAAAAGGAAGCCAUGUCUCCAGAAUGUUUCAUUUGACUUGCCCACUUAAGUCUUCAAUGGAAGCCCUGCUCUGUGCCCUAUACCACCAAGAUAGUUCAAUUGGUGAGUACAUGGGGCAAGCCAUUCUUGAAUACAUCAGCUUGAUGUGGAACUCUAUCCCUAGUUUUGUCUCCCUCUCCUUUUGGCAUUUUCUGAAAACUGCUGUGUUCCAAUAGGCCUAUGUCUUGCAUUUCCCCUCUCUUUUUAAAAUUUUGAUCCUAGAGGUGCAUAUGGGUUGUUUCUGGUUUUGCUGCUUAUGUUGCUCUUCAUUUUGGAAGAUAAGGGGAAAUGAUUUUAAAUUUACGCUUAUUUAAAUUAGAUUUUUAAUUUGGUAUGUUGGCCACCUUGGCCCUCACUUUGUGGGACUGAAAGACAGGAUGUAAACAUUUUAAAAAUAAAAUAAUAAUCAGAUGUGUGUCACACUAGCUUGACACUUGCCAUUGAUAAACAAGCUGUGCAGGCAUGCCUAUGGAAAACAAUGGCAAUGCUACACAUCUUUUUUGAGUAUUACAAGCAGUACUAAUAAGUGCUGUGACAGCCCUUUAUAAUAUUCCUUUAAAAUAUCAGACAGUAUGAGCACUAGAGAAUAACAUAGCAAAGAGUAAAAAUAUGAUAGACAUAAAUCUUAUAAAUUAUUACAGUUUGAGAAAUGUAAGAACUUGCAAUUAGAGCGGGAGAUCAAAUAGGAUUUCUCUCUGCCCAAAAUUGUUUCAAAGGCUUAUGUUCUUCUGUGCCCCUAAGUACAAUAAUUUAUGAAGCAGUAGGCGAUCCCUAAUACUCUGCCAAAGAGCUCAAAGUUGAUUAUAAUGAAUUAUAGUCUAGAAGACUUAUAAAGAAUUAGAGUGACAGGUGUUCGUUCAAGGCAUCAGUCAUCAGCACAUUUAAGCAGCAGAACUGCAGUUUACAGGCGGACAAUACCUGAAUAGGCCCCACCCUUUCAGGAAGGUGGGGGGACCUUAAAAAAAGACUUCUCAAUGACCUUUCACACAAUGAGACAAUGUUGUGAAAUGAAGAGCAAUUAUUUCUGCACCUCUUUAUCAAUAACUGGCAAUUAGAAAGGCUGCUUUAGUAUUAUACUAUGAAAGUUAACAUUUCAGGAACAGAGAUGAACAGUUUGCUCUUCAGCAUAUUCAGAUAGAAGGUAGACUGUGCUGCUGCAUUCAAUCUUAAAUGCUCCAUUUUCAUAAUAAUUUGUAACCCAAUUAAUUGGGAGUUUUUGUUUGGUCAAUGUUGACUGCAUAUGGUGUUCUCCCUCUCUCCCUCCCAUUCAUUCUACCUUCUAGCAUCAAUCCUUUAGUAGUUUAAUUUUUUUAAAACAGUGAUUAGAGGUGGCUGGGGCUAAAACAAAAAAACAAAAAACUUUUCAGAAUGUUUGGGAGCAGGUUGCUGGUUACUCAUGACGUGGCCAAGAGAUUUUCCAUUCUUCACUUACUUUAAAAAAAAAUAGCCAUAGGUUCCCAUCAGCCACACUUCCUGGAAUGACUUGGAAGUGACAUCAUGUGCUCCUGGGUUUUGCCCAAUAGUUGUUUUUAUACCAUGUUUUAACUUCUUUGUAAGCCACCUUGAGGGACUGAAUUGGGGCUUUAAGGUAUUAAAUGACUUAUGAAGGAAAUAAAGAAAUGGGUAUGUGUUGAACUGAUUUUUGUGAAUAGUUUAACACAUCCUACACAAUUAUUAUAAUCAUUAUCCUAUUAUUUCUUUGUUUUUAUUUAUGUAGUCCCAUCAACGUGCAGUUUACAAAGAAACACAAAAAAUACAGUUCUCUGCCUUGAUCAGCUUGCAAUCUAUAACUUGACAUGGAAACUAGAGGCAGAGAUGCGGAGAAACAAGAGGUUAAUUAUGACAAAUAUGUGUUCAGUUCAGUUAUACAUAUUUAGGCCUAGUUUCCCCGUUACUAAAAUUGAGGGACUAAGGAGUAGUACAAAGGCCUUCAGACAAAAGGUGGAUUUUGAUUUGCAGCUGCAGUUAGGCAAUGAAGAGCCAUGACCAGGUGAAGUGUGAGUGAAACAAGGGCCACAUUUAGAAUCAUAGAGUUGGACUUAUAAGGCCAUUGAGUCCAACCCCCUGCUCAAUGCAGGAAUCCAAAUUAAAACAUACCUGACAGGUGCCUGUCCAGGUGCCUCUUGAAUGCCUACAGCAAUGGAGAGCCCACCACCUCCCUAGGUAAUUGGUUCCAUUGUCGUACCAUUUUAACAGUUAGGAUGUUUUUCCCAGAGCUUGGAAGUAACUCAUUACAAAUAACGAGUUACUUGUAAUUUAUUACUUUUUUGAGUAACAGGUGGGUAACUUCGUUACAUUUUGCUUCUAACAGAACGAGUGGUAAUUUUAUUACUUUUCAGCAGCAACUGUAACGUUUCCAGCGUUACUUUUGGAUGUUACUUGGGGGGAAAGCAAGGGAAGUCUUCUGCUCCUGUGAUUGGUGGACAAAAGACAUGUGCUUCACACUGGACUUCUGCACAGAGGUUGCUCUUCCCUCAUGCUCUGUGUUACGAGGCCACGAGGGAGGAGGUGGAGAGCCAGACGGUCAUGGAGUGGAGAGAAAAAGAAAUUUCUGCAAAAAUGGACCAUGGUGGAGAGGAAAGGAGUGGAGGGAGAAAGCCUGAUGGCAAGGAUGAAGGCGGAGGAGGGAGCAGCAGAAUGCAGAUGAAGAUUUGUGGAGGUAUAUGAAGGGGAAGCGAUGCCUGAGGCAGCGCCUCAGAGUCACACAAAGUGAGACGCUAAGUGUGCACUUAGCGUCGCACUUGGAGUCAUCUUGGGGUUGUCUUGGGGAAAGAAGACAACGGAAGAAAUGUUCAUAAUGCUACUGGUUAUAGAAGAUGGUGGUCAGGUGGGGAGAAGCACAAUGGGAAAUUAGAGAACAUUUUUAGAUAUAUUUUAUAAUUGUUAUAUUCUGUUUUGUUUUGUUUUGUGUUUGAUUUAUUCUGUUUUCAUGUUAUUUAUAUUGUUUAGAUAUUUAUUGUUCAGUUAUGUUUAUUUAAAAUGUGAAUUAUUGCUUCUUCUUUUUUUACUAGCAAUUGUACCAAAUGUGAAUGUAUAUUGAUUUUUAUGUUAUAAACCGCCCAGAGAGCUUUGGCUAUGGGGCGGUAUACAAGUGUAAUAAUAAUAAUCCUAGAACUCUGUGUCAAAUUUAUUUUUAUUCAUUUAGUUUAGAAAGUGUUAGG